rnacentral:rRNA from 1 species
AGUGAACGCUGGCGGUAGGCCUAACACAUGCAAGUCGAAUGGCAGCACAGGAGAGCUUGCUCUCUAGGUGGCGAGUGGCGGACGGGUGAGGAAUACAUCGGAAUCUGCCCAGUCGUGGGGGAUAACGUAGGGAAACUUACGCUAAUACCGCAUACGACCUUCGGGUGAAAGAGGGGGAUCGCAAGACCUCUCGCGAUUGGAUGAGCCGAUGUCGGAUUAGCUAGUUAGCGGGGUAAUGGCCCACCAAGGCGACGAUCCGUAGCUGGUCUGAGAGGAUGAUCAGCCACACUGGAACUGAGACACGGUCCAGACUCCUACGGGAGGCAGCAGUGGGGAAUAUUGGACAAUGGGCGCAAGCCUGAUCCAGCCAUACCGCGUGGGUGAAGAAGGCCUUCGGGUUGUAAAGCCCUUUUGUUGGGAAAGAAAUCUUUCAGGCUAAUACCCUGGGAGGAUGACGGUACCCAAAGAAUAAGCACCGGCUAACUUCGUG